GAGCGCAGGGCGAGCGGCGACUUGAGGCGCCAUCCGUUCUCCGGGCCGGCGGAUCUUUGGAAGACCAAGGGGACCGGCAGUGGGAUGAACAUGUCGGGGACCUGUCACAGAAGAUGGAAUGUACACAUACAUACACACAUACACACACAAACGAACCAACCAACCAAGGCUAUUAUAGUAGACAUUUUCCAAAAUAAUAACAAAAGCCAAACUGGGGAUGAUGGCUGUUUUUGGAUAGUGUUUGAUCUCACCUGAAGAAAUUCUCUUUCUGGAGUGAAGCUGGGAAGAGGGUACAUGUGCACCCCAUUUCAGACUUCAAAGGGAAAAGGAAGGUCUGUAGAUGCUAAUAAUAAACCACCGUAGGAAAGAGGAGCUGAGUUAAUCACAAAUCCACCCAUCCAAAGAAACAAGGCAGUCACCUAACAGGAGGACUUGGUUCGUUUCCAGGAGAGCUGCUUCAGCCUGCAUUGGAAUUGCCCACCAAAUGUAAAUCCUGAACAGGCUACCUUGAAAAUUACUCUUUUCCACGUUCUGAUCUGCAUUUAACAACGCUUAAAAGUAGUGCUUUGUAGAUGAAAGGGAGUUCUUAGCAGCACCUGCGAAAAUGCCCUUAUAACUGCUGGUCCAAUGAGAACUGAUGCAUGGAGUAAGAGGUUUAAACAAGGAGACGUGGAACAGAAAAGUGUAUGGAAUAAUGAGUAAACAGAGGAAGGUUUUAUCCCUAUAAGCCAGCAUCCGAAGAGUUGAGCUCAAUGGCUUGUGGGUGGGUCCCUGCUUGGAUUCUGGAUUACAGUAUUUAUUUCUUGAAACAGCAAAAUUUUCUCCUCCGUGUCAUAUUACAAACUAUUUAGUUUCAAAAACGACUUCUUUCUAGCAUGCCAAACUUCCUUGCGUAAGAGGAUCCAGUUGUGCCAUUCUAUGGAUGUUGGCCUUAAUUUCUCUCUGUAGACAGAUCAUAUAGAUGUGUGCAUACACCUGUUUGCUUUUUCUUAAAUAAUCCAGCUUUUACAUUGUUAUUUGUGCAUUCAAACUUCAAAUAUAAUGGCACGCAAUUAAUUAGCAUGCAGGUAAUAGCCAUGUGCAGGGUCCAAGUAAGGGAUGGGCAUUCUGCGUUUCCAUCUGCAUCACACAAGAUGGAUGGGAAGGAAUAUCCUAUCCACACCACACAGUGCUAAUGCGGAUCCAAUCAGCAAUGAAGCGCUGGGCACUCUGUGCACGGUUCCCAAUCCAAUAUCUGGAACUGUGUGUAUAGCUGGGUGCUGGCAUCCAAACAAAAGAUCUGCUCAUGUAGCAAUUUUGCAGCGUAAACAGAUCCUGAUCCAGAAGAUGAACCUGCAUUAUGUAUGGAAACUUCUUGCUGGAUUGGUUAAACUUGUAUAUCCUUUUUCUGUGAACUGAUUAAUCCAGAGCAAGUAGCACCAUCAACUUAGAUGGAUAAGAAUCAUCACUAAACAUGCAUACACACUCUUUGGUCACUUCAACCAUGCAGAUUAUGUGUACAAAAGGUAAAUUGAAAUAUGAGAGAGAGAGAGAGAGAGAGAGAAGCCACUCUCUAUUAAAUAUUAUUUAGAAAACAUUAUUGCUAUCCUGCAACGUACAAGAUGUUACUUUGCAGUUCUGGAGUUAGAUAUGUCUUUUGCAUGUAUUAAGAUACUUCCUGUCUUCAUUUAGAAUUAAAAACUGGGAAACAUGAAAUCUCUUUCUACCCCUACCAUAUCAUAUUUGUUUACCAUUUAAAUGUUUGUCGUAAAAAGAUGUGCAAUUUCAGCCUUUCCUCCUGUACAACCUAGCAUCCUCACUACAACCUGGGCCUACCUUCAAAGAAAUGGAAGGAUCUAAAGGACUAUGAUGUCGUGGCUUACAAGCUCAGUACAAAAGAAAUAAAGAUUUGGAAGAAAAAUUCAAUAAGUGAUCUAAUAGAGCAAUUAAUGGACUGUCUGAAAAAUUACCAAGAAAUCUGGAAUGAACACUCUUUUCCAGUUUUUCAUUCCAAACCUUAUUAAGAUUUGGUUGGUUCAUUUUAUCUUUUUAAAAUGCAAUUUGCUAAUUUGGAGGCAAUAGUGGGGAAAUCGAGAAAGAGGUUUGGAGGAGGUGAUAAUUUAAAGAGAGAGAAAGAGAGAUUGAGAUUUAAUCAGAAAUAGUUCUCCUCCUACAGAAAGUAACAUAAAAUUAAAAGAGGAAAUAAAAGGAACAGAAAGAAUGGAAGAUGGGAUUUCUUUGUUGCUGCGGAACUCUCGCUGGGAUAUCGUCAAUGAAUGGGGGGGGGGGGCAUCGUUCUUUGGCUGUCUUCCACUCUAUCUUCUUUUAGGGGAUAGGGAGAUACCUGCAAAGCAUUUUACCCUCAUUCCCCAGUUCCUAAAAAAGGGAAGGUAGGAAAGUGGAUGUGAUAUUUGCAAAAAGAUUGCUGUAGUGGGAAACUAGUAAAUAUACAGAGGAGUUUUCUCACGUAAGACAUGGAAGAGAAAAUAUUUGGGGUAAGCCUUCAGCAAUAGGGGGCCGGGCCUCCAUGGUCAACUUUGCUUUAUCCCACACAUGGGCAAUGAGACCAGCAUGGUUUUUUUAGAGUGAUCCUUUAUGACUUUUGGGGAAAGGUGUCAUCCUGAAUUUUUCCACUGAAAUUCCACUGCAGUAACCUGUGCCUUUUAACAUGAUCAGAAAUUGUACAGUUUGAUGCUUUACACAUUAAAAAAAUGUUCAACGAAACAAUAAAGCCAAUUUCAACCCACCCUGAAAAAUAAGUAAUGGGAGACUGUCACUUAUUUCAAACUACAGUUUUGUGGAUUCAGUGGGCCUUGUUAAGAAGAAAAGACAACAUGCACACCAGAAUCACAUUCAUAGGUAUGUUUCACCUAGUCCCUCCAGCCCUGGAUUAGAAGAAAACAGAGGCCAAAUCCAUUUUCCUUGCCACUUUGCAGAAAAUGUAGACAUUUGGCCUGAUUGUACAAAGAUCUGUUCUUGAUCCCUGCUCCUCUAACUCGAACUAUUAGCAGCAGGCAAUAGUGAAAACGUAUGAAUAAAAUCCCAUGUCACAGAA